GGAAGGGUAGAAGGUCUCGGGCAGGAAGAGGCGCCAGGAGGAGGGUCCAGUGAUACAACACAGGCCCGGAGAGCUGGCGAGCCUUGAGGAAAACAUUAGUUCAGUUCCAUGUCAUGUGGAUAUGAGGCAGAGGAGGAAGAGGACACAGAAGAUGAUGCAGGUGACCCCGAUGUGGAUGCCGAUGACAAUGCCUGUG